GACGAACGCUGGCGGCGUGCCUAAUACAUGCAAGUUGAGCGCUGAAGGUUGGUACUUGUACCAACUGGAUGAGCAGCGAACGGGUGAGUAACGCGUGGGGAAUCUGCCUUUGAGCGGGGGACAACAUUUGGAAACGAAUGCUAAUACCGCAUAAAAACUUUAAACACAAGUUUUAAGUUUGAAAGAUGCAAUUGCAUCACUCAAAGAUGAUCCCGCGUUGUAUUAGCUAGUUGGUGAGGUAAAGGCUCACCAAGGCGAUGAUACAUAGCCGACCUGAGAGGGUGAUCGGCCACAGUGGGACUGGGAAACGGCCCAAACUCCUUCGGGAGGCAGCAGGAGGGAAUCUUCGGCAAUGGACGAAAGUCUGAACGAGCAACGCCGCGGGAGUGAAGAAGGUUUUCGGAUCGUAAAACUCUGUUGGUAGAGAAGAACGUUGGUGAGAGUGGAAAGCUCAUCAAGUGACGGUAACUACACAGAAAGGGACGGCUAACUACGUG
rnacentral:rRNA from 1 species